CACGUAGGGCGCGAGCGUUGUCCGGAAUUAUUGGGCGUAAAGAGCUCGUAGGCGGCCUGUUGCGUCCGCUGUGAAAGCCCGGGGCUUAACCCCGGGUCGGCAGUGGAUACGGGCAGGCUAGAGGUAGGUAGGGGAGAAUGGAAUUCCCGGUGUAGCGGUGAAAUGCGCAGAUAUCAUGAGGAAUACCAGAGGCGAAGGCGGCUACCUGGACAAUUGCUGACGCUCAGGCACGAAAGCGUGGGGAGCAAAAGGG
rnacentral:rRNA from 1 species